GAGGAGACCCAAAAGCCUAUUAGGGACUUGCCCCCCUCCCCCAAAUUCCUCCAAAAGGCGAUUAGAAAGACUGACACUGUAAAGCAGGUGUGCAGAAUCUUUGGUCCUCCAGAUGUUCCUGAACAACUCUCAUCAUCCCUAGUCAUCGGCUAAGUGUUGAGAAAACCUGCACUCGGCUGAAUGGAUAUCUUUGUGGAGGAUCCCUAGUCAAGCUGAAAGGAGGUGAACUUGAACUGAAAUGAAAAAGAAAUUAAAAUCCUUGAACUGAACAGUGAACCGAACUAGUUCAUUUUCCAAAGGGAUAAAGAACCUGAGAUCUUGUAUGAUGAAGGAUGGGAUAUAAAUGUAAUAAAUAAAAGA